rnacentral:lncRNA from 1 species
AUGCCUUCCUCUCCUCACCCCCAUAGACUGCUAUGGGAGGAGGAAUGUCUUUCUUUUCCCCUAUCCCUUUCUCUAAUUCACCCAGACUUUAUACCUCACGUUUAUAAAUGUUUCACCCUGAGGAAGUUGGGGCAGGACUGGACUGGCCUUGAAAUGAUGGGUUGUUCUAUUUUCUUCCUUUCUCUUUCCCUUCCUUCCUUUCUCUUUCUUUCUUUCUUUCUUUCUUUCUUUCUUUCUUUCUUUCUUUCUUUCUUUCUUUCUUUCUUUCUUUCUUUCUUUCUUUCUUUCUUUCUUUCUUUCUUUCUUUCUUUCUUUCUUUCUUUCUUUCUUUCUUUCUUUCUCUUUCCUUCCUUCCUUCCUUCCUUCCUUCCUUCCUUCCUUCCUUCCUUCCUUCUUUCCUUCCUUCGUUCCUUCUUUCCUUCCUUCCUUUCUUCUGUGAACCCUCACUCCCAUUACAAAGGAAAGAUCUCUAUUCAUUUAAUCUAAUAUAAAAAAGAGCCAGCUUACUGAUAUGUAAAAUGAUAAUAAAAAAUCCUAUGGCACAUAUGUUAUGAAGAUC